rnacentral:rRNA from 1 species
UACGAAGGGGGCUAGCGUUGUUCGGAAUUACUGGGCGUAAAGCGCACGUAGGCGGACUAUUAAGUCAGGGGUGAAAUCCCGGGGCUCAACCCCGGAACUGCCUUUGAUACUGGUAGUCUCGAGUCCGGAAGAGGUGAGUGGAAUUCCGAGUGUAGAGGUGAAAUUCGUAGAUAUUCGGAGGAACACCAGUGGCGAAGGCGGCUCACUGGCCCGAUACUGACGCUGAGGCGCGAAAGCCAGGGGAGCGAACGGG